UUAGGCAUUGCAGUAAUGCAUUGGGUAGGGGAGCGUCGUAUGCGGGGCGAAGUCAGAGCGGAAGCACUGGUGGACUGCAUACGAGUGAGAAUGCCGGAAUAAGUAGCGAGAAUUAUGUGAGAAUCAUAAUGGCCGAAAAUCUAAGGUUUCCUGGGGAAGGUUCGUCCGCCCAGGGUUAGUCGGGAGCUAAGCUCAGGCCGAAAGGCGUAGGCGAUGCACAUACGGUAGAAAUUCCGUAACCACCGAACAUUUAAGCUAGAGGGACGCUUUCUUUAAGGUUAUCCCGGGCGAUGGUUGCCCCGGGCGUAAGGGACCGAAAUAUAGUAGGGAAGUAACUGGCGAGAGAGACGAGAAAAGCUCUAGUGUAUACUAAGGUGCCCGUACCGCAAACCGACACAGGUAGAAGGGAUGAGUAUUCUAAGGCCAACGGGAGAAGGGUUGUUAAGGAACUCGGCAAAUUGGCCCCGUAACUUCGGGAUAAGGGGCGCCUGCGAGAGCAGGCCGCAGUGAAAAGGCCCAAGCGACUGUUUAGCAAAAACACAGCUCUCUGCUAAAUCGAAAGAUGACGUAUAGGGGGUGACACCUGCCCGGUGCUGGAAGGUUAAGAGGAGGAGUGCAAGCUCCGAAUUGAAGCCCCAGUAAACGGCGGCCGUAACUAUAACGGUCCUAAGGUAGCGAAAUUCCUUGUCAGGUAAGUUCUGACCCGCACGAAUGGCGUAACGAUUUGGGCACUGUCUCAACAGCCCGCCCGGCGAAAUUGUAGUACCGGUGAAGAUGCCGGUUUCCCGCAACUAGACGGAAAGACCCCAUGGAGCUUCACUGUAGCUUGAUAUUGGACUUCGGUAUUCCAUGUACAGGAUAGGUGGGAGGCUAGGAAGCGAGCGCGCCAGCGUUCGUGGAGCCGUCCUUGGGAUACCACUCUUGGGAUAUUGGAGUUCUAACCUGCGACCAUGAAUCUGGUCGGGGGACAUUGUCAGGUGGGCAGUUUGACUGGGGCGGUCGCCUCCAAAAGAGUAACGGAGGCGCUCAAAGGUUCGUUCAGCACGGACGGAAAUCGUGCACUGAGUGUAAACGCAUAAACGAGCCUAACUGCGAGAAUGACGGUUCGAGCAGUAACGAAAGUUGGAGUUAGUGAUCCGGCGGUAUGUGAAUGGAAAUGCCGUCGCUCAACGGAUAAAAGCUACCCUGGGGAUAACAGGCUGAUCUCCCCCAAGAGU
rnacentral:rRNA from 1 species